rnacentral:rRNA from 1 species
UACGGAGGGGGCCAGCGUUGCUCGGAAUUAUUGGGCGUAAAGGGCGCGUAGGCGGUCUGGUAAGUUUGAUGUGAAAUCCCAUGGCUCAACCCUGAAACUGCAUUCGAUACUGCGCGGCUAGAGUGCUGGAGGGGAGACUGGAAUUUACGGUGUAGCAGUGAAAUGCGUAGAUAUCGUAAGGAAGACCAGUGGCGAAGGCGAGUCUCUGGACAGCAACUGACGCUGAGGCACGAAGGCCAGGGGAGCAAACGGG